rnacentral:rRNA from 1 species
AUUGAACGCUGGCGGCAUGCCUUACACAUGCAAGUCGAACGGCAGCACGGGUGCUUGCACCUGGUGGCGAGUGGCGAACGGGUGAGUAAUACAUCGGAACAUGUCCUGUAGUGGGGGAUAGCCCGGCGAAAGCCGGAUUAAUACCGCAUACGAACCACGGAUGAAAGCGGGGGACCUUCGGGCCUCGCGCUAUCGGGUUGGCCGAUGGCUGAUUAGCUAGUUGGUGGGGUAAAGGCCUACCAAGGCGACGAUCAGUAGCUGGUCUGAGAGGACGACCAGCCACACUGGGACUGAGACACGGCCCAGACUCCUACGGGAGGCAGCAGUGGGGAAUUUUGGACAAUGGGCGAAAGCCUGAUCCAGCAAUGCCGCGUGUGUGAAGAAGGCCUUCGGGUUAUAAAGCACUUUUGUCCGGAAAGAAAACCUUGACUCUAAUACAGUCGGGGGAUGACGGUACCGGAAGAAUAAGCACCGGCUAACUACGUG